rnacentral:tRNA from 1 species
UCCCAUAUUGUCUAGUGGUUAUUUUAGUGAUACCUGGCUCUCACCCAGGAGGCCCGGGUUCAAUUCCCGGUAUGGGAA